GACGAACGCUGGCGGCGUGCUUAACACAUGCAAGUCGAACGGAAAGGCCCUGCUUUUGUGGGGUGCUCGAGUGGCGAACGGGUGAGUAACACGUGAGUAACCUGCCCUUGACUUUGGGAUAACUUCAGGAAACUGGGGCUAAUACCGGAUAUGAGCUCCUGCUGCAUGGUGGGGGUUGGAAAGUUUCGGCGGUUGGGGAUGGACUCGCGGCUUAUCAGCUUGUUGGUGGGGUAGUGGCAUACCAAGGCUUUGACGGGUAGCCGGCAUGAGAGGGUGACCGGCGCCAAGAGGACUGAGAGAGGGCGCAGACGCCUACGGGAGGCAGCAGGGGGGAAUAUUGCACAACGGGCGGAAGCCUGAGGCAGCAACGCUGCGUUCGGGAUGAGGGCCUUCGGGUUGCAAACCGCUUUCGCCUGUGACGAGGCGUGAGUGACGGUAAUGGGUAAAGAAGCACCGGCUAACUACGUG
rnacentral:rRNA from 1 species